CCACAUGCAAGUCGAGCGCACUCUUCGGAGUGAGCGGCGGACGGGUUAGUAACGCGUGGGAACGUGCCCUUCUCUAAGGAAUAGCCACUGGAAACGGUGAGUAAUACCUUAUACGCCCUUCGGGGGAAAGAUUUAUCGGAGAAGGAUCGGCCCGCGUUAGAUUAGAUAGUUGGUGGGGUAAUGGCCUACCAAGUCUACGAUCUAUAGCUGGUUUUAGAGGAUGAUCAGCAACACUGGGACUGAGACACGGCCCAGACUCCUACGGGAGGCAGCAGUGGGGAAUCUUGGACAAUGGGCGCAAGCCUGAUCCAGCCAUGCCGCGUGAGUGAUGAAGGCCUUAGGGUCGUAAAGCUCUUUCGCCAGAGAUGAUAAUGACAGUAUCUGGUAAAGAAACCCCGGCUAACUCCGUGCCAGCAGCCGCGGUAAUACGGAGGGGGUUAGCGUUGUUCGGAAUUACUGGGCGUAAAGCGCACGUAGGCGGAUCAGAAAGUAUAGGGUGAAAUCCCAGGGCUCAACCCUGGAACUGCCUUGUAAACUCCUGGUCUUGAGUUCGAGAGAGGUGAGUGGAAUUCCGAGUGUAGAGGUGAAAUUCGUAGAUAUUCGGAGGAACACCAGUGGCGAAGGCGGCUCACUGGCUCGAUACUGACGCUGAGGUGCGAAAGUGUGGGGAGCAAACAGGAUUAGAUACCCUGGUAGUCCACACCGUAAAC
rnacentral:rRNA from 1 species